rnacentral:rRNA from 1 species
AACGAACGCUGGCGGCAUGCCUAACACAUGCAAGUCGAACGAGAUCUUCGGGUCGAGUGGCGCACGGGUGCGUAACGCGUGGGAAUCUGCCCUUUGGUUCGGAAUAACAGUUGGAAACGACUGCUAAUACCGGAUGAUGACGAAAGUCCAAAGAUUUAUCGCCAGAGGAUGAGCCCGCGUAGGAUUAGCUAGUUGGUGUGGGAAAGGCGCACCAAGGCGACAAUCCUUAGCUGGUCUGAGAGGAUGGUCAGCCACACUGGGACUGAGACACGGCCCAGACUCCUACGGGAGGCAGCAGUGGGGAAUAUUGGACAAUGGGCGAAAGCCUGAUCCAGCAAUGCCGCGUGAGUGAUGAAGGCCUUAGGGUUGUAAAGCUCUUUUACCCGGGAUGAUAAUGACAGUACCGGGAGAAUAAGCUCCGGCUAACUCCGUGCCAGCAGCCGCCGUAA